UUGAGCAAUUUGAAUCAUUGUGAACUACUUAUUGUGUCUACUUAAUGUGUCAGGAACUGGGGUGAGGGCUAGGGAAUGAUACCCACUGAUAAAGCCCGGUAUUUAUUGACAACCACGAUAACCAGAGAGGACAUGGUGCUGGAGGUGCAUCUAUCGUCACAUUCUGGGAUGCCAGGUCUGAUGCUGGCCCACCCAUAUGGAGUCACCAGAGUAAUGUCCAGCUACCGCUGGGACCGCAACAUUGUUAAUGGACAGGACCAAAAUGAAGGAUAGGACCUCCCAGAUACAGUGAUAGACUCACUAAGCCCGUUCCCAUCAACCCUGACCUGUGGAGAUGGCUGAUUUUGUGAGCACGGAUGGCAUCAGAUCAACCAUUCACUAACUGAUGGGACAACCAGAACAACCAGAUGGCUUUCGGCCAUGGCAAUCGUGGAUUCAUUGUCAUCAACAAUGAUGACAUGUAAGAAUGAACUAUUUAAAGACAGGGAUCUGGAUGUGUCCCUGAACACUGGCAUGUCAGGAGGCACCUAUUGUGAUGUCAUCUCUGGACAGAAGGAAGGAAGCAGAUGCACUGGGAAAGAGGUGCAGGUUGGAGGAGAUGGACAUGCUAACUUCAGAUUCAGCAAAAUGGAAGAAGACCCAUUUAUUGCCAUCCAUGCUGACUCAAAACUGUAAAAGUUCAACAACAUAAAAAUAUAUUUUUUAACAUAUCAAAUACAACAAAUAUGUAGAAAUGACCAAAGGUGUUCCAGAGUUCUUGAAUGUAAACGUUGGUAAAAACCAGCCACUGGAAACUUAAAAUUUGCUUAAAAGUAUUUUGUAUUAUUUUCAGAGGUGA